AUAUACCAAUCAAUAAAAAUAUCAGUAACAUCCAUCCAUUUAUUGAUUAGACUACACUGAUAAUCUCCAAAUAAUAGACAGGUGUGAAAAUCUAUGUAACUACAAUGAUAUAACUUUGUAAUUAUCAUUAAAUGAUAGAAGAUAGUUUUUAGAACUUGUAGUUUUUUUUUUAAUGCUAAAAUGUUGGUAAUUUUCUUUAAGUUAAGAUUAUCAGUAACAUGUUUACAAUCCCUCGAUAAAGAUAUUAUCACAUUCAUCAAUCUGUGCAUAACUCAUACCCAUAAUCUCCAGUUGAUACAGAAAAUAAGUACUUUUGAUUUUCUUUACAUCAAAAUUAAGGAAAUUCUUAACGAUUGGGUUAAAGCACUCUCAAUGAAACAUGUGACCAAUAUUUAUUAUAACUUGCUAUUGGACAUUAUCUAUAAUAUCUCCAUUGUAUGUAGGAUCAAACAUAGCUUAUAAUCCUAUUACCUUGACUUUAAUUAUUAAAUUAAUAAUUUAACAAUUAAAUAUCUAUUUUAUGAUAUUUUGAUAAUUUUUUAAUUUCAAUAUUAAGUUCAAUGAAACAUGGGACCAAUCAUUUUAUUACUUGCUAUUGGACAUUAUCUAAAAUAUCUCCAUUGCAAAUAUUCAUAUGUAGGAUCAAACAUUGCUUAUAAUCCUAUUACCUUGAUUUUAGUUAUUAAAUUAAUAAUUUAAUAAUUAAAUGUCUAUUUUAUGAACUUUUGAUUUUUUUUUUAAUUUUAACAUUAAGUUCUCCUACUUUGUUAAGUAAAAAUUGUGGAUUACGCCUUUGCAGUUCAUGUCUUCAUCAUGGGCUAAGCAAUUGAGUCAACUCAUAAAGAUUUUGUGCUAGGAAUUUGGUGGAACAUCUAGAGACUAGAGCAUAAUGUUUGAUUACCUUCUUAUUCACAUCUUUGGGGUAUGUACAGCUGCAGCUGUCACUAAGGACUCAUGGGAAAAUUUAUUUUAAGUAAUAUACCAGUCCUAGUUGAAUUCUAUGCAAGCUGGUGUAGGCUGUGCAGGAUGGUUCACUGAGGGAAUGAUGAUAUUGCUUGAGAGUACGAUGGGAAACUAAAAUGCUUUGUUCUUAACACUUACAGUGACUUGCAAAUUGCUGAGAACUAUGAAAUUAAAACUGUAACAGUGGUUUUGCUGUUAAAAGACGGAGAGAAGCGAGAGUCGGUGGUUGGCAAAAUGCCAAAGGAAUUCUUUGUUGCUGCCAUUGAGAGGGUCCUCCAUUUGUAAACAUUUGUCAAUGCCUGAGUUGAACAUCAACAAAGUUGACUGGUUUUUUCAGCAGGUAUCAAAAGAUCUCUUCCAUCUUGAAUUUUCGUUUGCUCUCAAGUACAUUACUUGUACAGUGUUUACAAAUGUACUGUUUAUCACCAUAGGUGCUGGGGUUUACCUUUGCCUUUCUUAUAUUCUGUAAAUGCAAUGUAUAUAAUCUUUAAUGCCUUGCAGUAUAUCUGAAUAUUUUAUUUCACUGUAUUCUUGCUGUUUUAUAAAUACAACUGUUCCCUUU